rnacentral:lncRNA from 1 species
UGGUUCUCAACAGAAAUUCUUGCCUGAAUCUUGCAAUGGAGAUAGUGUCAAUAAUGGAGUUGAAGUUUUCCUCUAUUGUCUAUGAAGGUAAGAUACGUGAAAUAACAACUGUUCACUCUCCAAUAACAAGCAUGUGGUUAUAGAGAUUUUUGUUUGUUGCUCACCUGAAAGUUAUAUGCAACUCAGUAUUUUUUAAACUAACUAGACUGUCGGACUAAUAAUUGAAUGUCUG